rnacentral:lncRNA from 1 species
UGCCAUGGCGGUCGAGUUACAUCAAACUUUCUGGUCAGGCCGGGUAUUAUGAAAUCACAGAAAAUUCAAGAACAAAAUAAUCCAAUAAUCUGUAGUAUUGUUGUCAAGAAAUACACAAGUAAAUUCACUAAUCUAUUUAUUAAAAUUCCAUUCCGGACACUAUUUACAUAACAUACAGUUUACAAAAAUGUAUAAUUGAAAUAUUCAUUAGCAAAUUACUUUCACACGGUAUAAAAUCGGCAACAGUGUCUAAUACUAUACACACAAAAAAAACCCACGCAUAGCGUCCAAUCCUAUGCGGACAAAACCACGCAACAGUGUCCAAUACUGUGCGGACAAAACCACGCUUCAGUGUCCAAUACUGAGCGGAACCACGCAACAGUCUCCAAUACUGUGCGGACAAAACCACGCAUCAGCGUCCAAUACUGAGCGGAACCACGCAACAGUGUCCAAUACUGUGCGGACAAAAAGAAUAUAAGAAAUAAUAAUAAUUCCAAAGCUAUCAGUAAUCUGCUAAGAUAUAUCUAAAAAUGUUAUGAGUCUGAAUAACAAAAAUCUGAACCUUAUAUACACAUUGCCACCA